UAAGCAUAUCAAUAAGCGGAGGAAAAGAAACCAACAGGGAUUGCCCUAGUAACGGCGAGUGAAGCGGCAACAGCUCAAAUUUGAAAUCUGGCUCCGUUUCGGGGUCCGAGUUGUAAUUUGCAGAGGGUGCUUUGGCGUUGGCAACGGUCUAAGUUCCUUGGAACAGGACGUCACAGAGGGUGAGAAUCCCGUACGUGGUCGCUUGUCUUCGCCGUGUAAAGCCCCUUCGACGAGUCGAGUUGUUUGGGAAUGCAGCUCUAAAUGGGAGGUAAAUUUCUUCUAAAGCUAAAUACUGGCCAGAGACCGAUAGCGCACAAGUAGAGUGAUCGAAAGAUGAAAAGCACUUUGGAAAGAGAGUCAAAAAGCACGUGAAAUUGUUGAAAGGGAAGCGCUUGCAGCCAGACGUGCCCGCAGUUGUUCUCUUCUGUGGGCAGGCCAGCAUCAGUUUGGGCGAUCGGAUAAAAGCCUCUGUCAUGUAUCUUCCUUCGGGAUGACCUUAUAGGGGAGGCAUAAUGCGUUCAGCCCGGACUGAGGUCCGCGCAUCUGCUAGGAUGCUGGCGUAAUGGCUGUAAGCGGCCCGUCUUGAAACACGGACCAAGGAGUCUAACAUCUAUGCGAGUGUUUGGGUGUCAAGCCCGAGCGCGCAAUGAAAGUGAACGGAGGUGGGAACCCUCUUUCCCGGGGGUGCACCAUCGACCGAUCCUGAAGUCUUCGGAUGGAUUUGAGUAAGAGCAUAGCUGUUGGGACCCGAAAGAUGGUGAACUAUGCUUGAAUAGGGUGAAGCCAGAGGAAACUCUGGUGGAGGCUCGCAGCGGUUCUGACGUGCAAAUCGAUCGUCAAAUUUGGGCAUAGGGGCGAAAGAC
rnacentral:rRNA from 1 species